CCGAGGGUGAUACUUUGUUGUAAAAUCCAAUAAAAUCGCACGCAGUGAGUGACCUGACGUAAACCGCCCCGCGUCCUCGUCGCCCGCGCCAGUCUGUAAGCGCUACAUUUUGAAUUAAAAUGUAGACACUACAAUAUAGGCACUCAAGGACGAAUCGGUAAAAAAGUACCGAGCGUACUUUACUGCCAUUCCGCGUUGUCGAGUGAGGAAGCGGCCUAAGCAAUCGUUUUCGACUCAAAGUGCCUUUUACAUAAGUCAUAACAACGCGCAACGACUUGAACUUGAAUAUUUUAAGCGCGAAAUCAUUAUUCCGUCAAAUCUGUUCAAACGAUAAAAACUCACCGCGUGUGACAACGUGUUUUUCUUUAUUUACAUAGAUUUUAAAGAUGUUAGUAGCAAUAAUAGCUUGUGUGUUAUUGGCGGUGGUAGCAGUUAUUUCAUCCAUGGAACUGGUUUACUUGUGUAGGAAUAAGAACGAUCAAAAUACGUUUUUGCAAUGUGUAUCAUUUGAAACACUACGGAAUAAACUAAAAGGGAUAAACACACUCAAAGAAGAGACCAGUGGCGCAAACGGAAAGAACGCACAGACCGUCUGAAGACGGACGGUCACGAGAAACUGGAUCAAAACAAAAAUGGCGGCAAUUGAUUCAAGGAAAUAAGGAUAAUAUAAUCUUAUUAAUAAAUCAAGCCCGACGACUGACGUGGGUUGUACAAC